rnacentral:rRNA from 1 species
AUUGAACGCUGGCGGCAGGCUUAACACAUGCAAGUCGAGCGGAGAGAGGUAGCUUGCUACUGAUCUUAGCGGCGGACGGGUGAGUAAUGCUUAGGAAUCUGCCUAUUAGUGGGGGACAACAUUUCGAAAGGAAUGCUAAUACCGCAUACGUCCUACGGGAGAAAGCAGGGGAUCUUCGGGCCUUGCGCUAAUAGAUGAGCCUAAGUCGGAUUAGCUAGUUGGUGGGGUAAAGGCCUACCAAGGCGACGAUCUGUAGCGGGUCUGAGAGGAUGAUCCGCCACACUGGGACUGAGACACGGCCCAGACUCCUACGGGAGGCAGCAGUGGGGAAUAUUGGACAAUGGGCGCAAGCCUGAUCCAGCCAUGCCGCGUGUGUGAAGAAGGCCUUAUGGUUGUAAAGCACUUUAAGCGAGGAGGAGGCUACUUUAGUUAAUACCUAGAGAUAGUGGACGUUACUCGCAGAAUAAGCACCGGCUAACCCUGUGCCAGCCGCCGCCGUAA